UGGGGAAUAUUGCACAAUGGGCGAAAGCCUGAUGCAGCAACGCCGCGUGAGUGAUGAAGGCCUUCGGGUUGUAAAGCUCUGUCUUUUGGGACGAUAAUGACGGUACCAAAGGAGGAAGCCACGGCUAACUACGUGCCAGCAGCCGCGGUAAUACGUAGGUGGCAAGCGUCGUCCGGAUUUACUGGGCGUAAAGGAUGCGUAGGCGGAUUUUUAAGUGAGAUGUGAAAUACCCGGGCUUAACUUGGGUGCUGCAUUUCAAACUGGGAAUCUAGAGUGCGGGAGAGGAGAAUGGAAUUCCUAGUGUAGCGGUGAAAUGCGUAGAGAUUAGGAAGAACACCAGUGGCGAAGGCGAUUCUCUGGACCGUAACUGACGCUGAGGCAUGAAAGCGUGGGUAGCAAACAGGAUUAGAUACCCUGGUAGUCCACGCCGUAAACGAUGAGUACUAGGUGUAGGAGGUAUCGACCCCUUCUGUGCCGCAGUUAACACAAUAAGUACUCCGCCUGGGAAGUACGAUCGCAAGAUUAAAACUCAAAUGAA
rnacentral:rRNA from 1 species